GCCCUCGGAGAAGCGGAAGCGCCCGUUCGGACUGCUGCGAGCUUCAGAAGUCAACCAUGGGCAUUAAAGGUUUGCAGGGAUUUGUGGCGAGAGUUUGCCCUGAUGCGUGCAGAACGGUAGAUCUGAAAGAGAUGGCAGAAAAACACCGCAUCGAUCACCCUGAUGUCCUGCCUGUUAUUGUAGUAGAUGCCAUGAGUUGUGUUCGACGCUGGUACACACCAGAAUCCUGGGUGUGUGGUGGCCAAUGGCGAGAGUACCUUGCUGUUUUAGAGGAUUUUAUUGAAACUUUUAAAGCGGCUGGUAUCGAGUUGGUGUUUUACUUUGAUGGAGUGGUAGAAGAGAAAAAAAGAGAUGAGUGGAUCAAACGGAGGCAGCAGAAUAACAGGGAAAUAGCCAACCUAUUUCAGUUUAUCAAGGCUCACAGGAAACAGCCGGGGAGAGAAAUGUUUGUUCUUCCCUCAGCUUUGCCUACUUUUACACGCUUUGCCCUAAAGGCACUUGGUCAAAAAACGGUGUGCACAUUGCAAGAGGCGGACUUUGAGGUGGCUGCAUAUGGUUUGCAACAUAACUGCAUGGGAAUUCUUGGGCAAGAUAGUGACUACCUCAUCUAUAAUACAUCUCCUUAUUUUUCCAUUGAGAAACUCUGCUUGGACAGACUAGUCACUGUUAUGUACUCCAGAGAAGACCUUUGCCGUGUGCUAGGUCUUAGUAUGAAGCACCUCCCUCUCUUUGCUUGCUUGCUUGGCAAUGAUGUUGUUCCAGAAAACUUGCUGGAAGGCUUUUGGCAUAAAUGUUUAGUCACCUGUUCCUCCAGGAAUAGGAGCUACAACAGAAGAACAAGCAUAAUUCUAGCUGUAGCAAAUUAUAUCUCCAAAAUUCCAUGCUCGUACAGCAGCCUGAAACACUUGGAAGGUAUGCUACCUCUGGGAUCAGACAAUACAUUACUUCACAGAGGAAUGGAGUCCUAUCUCUUGCCAGGGCAGCAGUCUCCAUGGAUUCCUCCUGAUGCAAGAAAUUUCAAAAUGUCCUCGGGUCAAGAAGGAACAGCCAUGUGUCGAGACAAGGAAAUCUUUCAGUUAGCUAAAGAACAUCACAUCCAAUCUGAAAAUUAUGCCAUCUUCAAUAUCCUGAGUAAUGGAGAGCUUGAGUGCAGCAACUCUUUGGAAGAUGAUUGUGAUACAGAGAUUCCUGGACAGGCACUCAUCUAUCGCCCUGCUCGUCAGCAUAUUUAUUCUGUCUUGUUGGAGUCAGAAAAAGAUGGAGCCUGUCCUUUGGUCAAAGAGUGGUUUGUCUAUUGUGGAAAUACUCUAGAGCAGCCAGAGCUGAUACAACCCCUGCAGCCCCCUAUUCCAGGUGGAACACCUAAUUUGAAAACACUGUGGUUUGCCAAAGGACCUGACGUGGAAAAGCAGCGGUACAGUACGUUUCUGGCAUGCUUUCACCUUCAGGAUGCGAUGGAAGAGCUCCAAGCUCUAGAAGCACCUGUUGCAGCAUUCUGCUGCUUGCUGACCUACCUUAUGAUGCAGGUCAGUAGUCUCUCUCUGGAAGACUUAAACGCGUUUGUGGCACUCAUUCUCUGCCUCAGAGGAAAGUCAGCUGCUGAACUGGCAACUUUGCAGCUUGUGCAAGUGGACCCCAGAGCUGUACAUCUUGGUGCUGUUUUGGUUCGUGGCCUUACAACGUUGCUCAUGGCCAAUAGUGCCUGUGGCUUUCCAUUCAGCAUGGAUGAUUUGAUGCCCUGGAAAGUGUUUGAUGGAAAACUUUUUCAAGAAAAGUACCAAAAGUCACACCGAAGUUGCUCUUUGGAGGAGCUUUUGGAAGGCAAUGAGUCUUUGUAUACACCCUUCCAGAAUCUGAAGGCGCUCAUUUGCAAGGCUUGUGCGCUGAAGAAAAGAACAAUACAGAGCAGACCGAGAGGGAAUGGAUUUAUCACAGAAACACAUCAAAGAGAACUUAAUCCUAGGUUCCAGCAAACACACAGAAGCUCCCUUGUGUCUCCAUAUCAUAAUCAAAUGAGGGGCAACCUCUGGAGAAAUCCUCAACCACAAGGUAGAAGAUACAGAUCAGGACAUUCAGACCAGAGGAGAAGAUUCCAAGUUCCUCCUUGGAUGUUUUGGCACAAUGGGUUGAUUUUAUUCACCCUGGGGCUGAGCAAUGAACAAAUUACCACAAGGCCAGCAAGGGUGGGGAUUCACAUUGCCUCAUUGUGACUAAACGAAACAGAUGCCUCUCGGUAGACUUCUUUGGUAAACACACAGAGAAUCCUCCAUCCAAUUUUCUUCUCUGGUCAGUUUUGGAAGAGGUGCAAUGCUGAAAAUAUGAAACUUCCUUCAUGAAGGUGACAAAGAUGUUUGGCCCAGGUGCUCUCGACUAAUUGGAGGCAUUUGACCUACCAAGCCUAAAGGAGCCUUCUCACCCAGUAUUAGCUGUCUGAAACUUGGUCUGCUGCAGCUCUAAAUCAACACUGUCUUCUUUUCUUUGUCGGUAGAGAGACAACAGGAACUUCCAGAGGGCAAUUCAGCCCAUCCUAAAACAUGUGGGAAAACAGUCUCCUGCACAUGCUGGUUGUGUCUCUGUAUGCAAAGGGAGACUGAAGCCCUAUGUCCAAAUAGAAACCUGAUUUUUGUUGGCUUGUUGGCCUGAGAUGAAUGUUACCCCCUGUAAGCCAUAUCACUCCCACAGGAGGAAAGAUAACCUGUUUCCCCCAGAGCUCUGCCAGUUCUUGAAAUCUCCCUCUUGGACCUACUGUUCUUCUGAAUAUGGCAAUCUAUAAAUGAUACCAUUUGAGACACAAAACAUUAUGACUUACCAAUAUUUUUUAAUUUUGGAUGGCAAGAUGUACUCUGUAUCAACAGGAAAACAGUGUGCUGUGACUACCAAGCAUGGACACUCAUACACAUGGACUUAACGUAGUGGGCUGCUCUUAUUUUGAAAACUAAAUGAAUCAUAAUGAAUUGUCACUUCCCAUAAAAGUGCUCCACAGAAGAGGUCUUGCCCACAUUGGUCCAAGGCAUGUGGGCGCAAUUAUGCCACCAUCUUCUGAUGUACAGAUGGAUGUAUCAGUUUCAUUCAGGUGUCCUGAAAGAUUGGGCUGUGAGAACUACUGUGCUAGGACACCUGUUUACUUUAGUUCCACCGCUGCAGGUCUGGCUUCAGUCAGAAGAUUGCUCAUGGAAUGGACUCUCUGGUCUGGAGUAGAGAAGUGUUACCCCCUAACGCUUUUCUAGGGUAGCCAGUGGCUGGUGGUUAAAACAGGAAACUCAAUGUAAACUGCUUAUCAUUGACAGCAUCCCGGUGCUGGGGGUCCAUUUCCGAGGCUUUGAAGUGGCCAAACUCUCACCUCAUCUCAUACACAUGGAAAUCAGAUCACCAGGAGAAGGAGCAAGCUUGUAAAUCCCAUGAAGAAGCCAACAGGGCAAGUUAGGAAAUGGUGACCUUCAGUGUAUUAACAGUCGAGUGAAGAGCUCUGUGCUGCCGAAGAGGCUGCAGUAAAAAUGGAGAAGAGGUUGGUAGGUCAAUCCAUUUCUCUCUUUCAAGAGUGAGAUAGCGGGGCUUGCUGACACAUACCAGAGAGCCCUUUGAGCUUGCCUUCCUCCCAUUUCAAGAAAAGGAGUUUAUCAGGCCUGUGAUGUCUGAGAUAGAUCCUGUCCUGAGCUGAAGCGCACCAUCUACCACAAGCAAGAAAGGCCAUGCCCAUGACGUAUAACUACGUGUACUCUUGAGCCUAUUACCUAAUAGAGACGCAAGAAAAUGGCCCAUCUGUUUGCAGUGGGCAAAUGUCAAUCUGGUGGCCAUCAACACCUCGCUGAUAAACUGGAAAUCCUCACCUUCUUCCAUCCUCUCCUUCCAAACGACCCAUGAAAGAGCCCCGGAGAUCAAAGAAAUCCUCUUCCAUCCUUAUCCUUCUGACAGAGGGACUGGUGGGAUUUAGCACCCAUGUGGGAAUGCUUCAUCUUGAAUUCGCAUUCACAAACGCAGCAACCCGGGGGCUUUUCACAGCACCUUAAGCAGACUGAAGUGGAGCUGGCGCAUAAUCAGCGACGGAACAGCUGUUAUCCAGAGAUAACAGAGGCUGCAGAUGUGCAUGGGGUCAAGGGAGACAAUGCCGUGAGUGGAAAAGUCAUACAAUGGAGUUCUGUGUAUUUUCUUCAGAUGUGGAGAACAAAAAAGCAGUGACCUUUUGUCUGUUGCUGUCACUCCCUGCCUCACCAUUAAGGUAGUUUUCUCUUCUUUUUUUCAAGGGGAGGUGUCUUGAAAUAGAUCCCUGUCAAUCAUGCCCUAAAAACGAUGAGUGCAGCCGUCAGCAGAAUCCUUCUUAGAAGUGUAAAUAUUCUGCAUAUUGAAGUAUGUGGCAGUGAGAUGAAUGCGGAGCUUUGGAUAAGUGUAAUUUUAAUGCAUUUAUUUCAAAGACAAGUUGAUUUUGAUCACUUGGUAUGCCAAUUUCAAAGGUCUAGUGAAAAAUACAGGGAAACAAGACCAUACCCAUGGGCUCAGGGAAGAUCUUUCUCACCUGGUACCCAUCUUCCAAUGGCAAUAGCAGUGCGCAAGAAUUGGGCAAGCAAAGAAUGAAAGUCCUCCAGAUAUUGGGUAGUCUGUGAUUUAAGGACUGUUGAGCUGAAGUUGACACUGUGUAUUGGUGUUGAAUACUGGUUGCGUCCAAACCAGUAUGAACACUGCACCUGGUUCCUGAGCAGCGUACCUGGCCUCUUACAAGAGGUCUAUGAAAGGUAAUUUGGAAAAGUAGAGGUCUACAAAAGGUAAUUUGGAAAAGUCAGUGACCAGCCAUCUUAAGCCUAGUACCAACUACAUGUGCCAUCAUGGCAAGUGUUGGCAUCUCCCUGCUCAGAAGGGUUGAAGCCAACAACCAGCAGUGAGGGAAAUACAUUCACCAAGGAACUGAAAGCAGCAGCUCAGGAUCUCCUGCUGUGCACCAGCACACAGCGUUUCACCUGUUCUCCAGCUCAGUGUAUCAGUGAGCAGCAUGUGCUGCACUCACUCUGGCCACAGGCACGUCCUCAGUGAGCUAUUCUGGUACCUGAAGAAGGCAGGGCAAAGUCAGUGUGGCUUGCCUGAGGCUGAGAUAAGCCUCUAUUCCCGCUGUCAGAAGUGCAGCUUUCAGAGCACAAAAAGGAAGGUGAGCGCUCACAGGUCAACUAGUUAUGGCUGCACUCAUUCUCUCUGGAGCAUCUUUUGUGACCAGUAGAGAGUUGUGUUGGGUUUAGCUGAGAACUGUGAGUGAGAGCACACAGCGGUUACGUUCCCAGCCCAGCGUGUUGUUUUUUUAUGGCCCCCAUCCCCAGCAGAGGACAAUGGCUUCUGCAGCUCUUAGGAUCCACAGGAAUCUGGUGUUUGACAAUACACUCCCAACACAUCUGUUUUGUUUUUCUGUUUUGGUUUUAUUUUACUGUUGAAAUUAGGAGUUUCCAUUUUAGCCCCCCUCCUCCACCCUCCCCUCUCCCCCCCUUUUUAAUUGCUUUCUCCCCUCCUCCACACUUUAUUCUUUCGGCACAGGGCUGCCACUUACCAGCUGUUCACAAUUCCUUCACCCCUUCUGCUUUUCAGUACUAGAUUACCACGACAUACACUCAAAGGAUAUUUUCUUCCUUGCAGGAGGUCCCUGCUUCCCAUACCCACUGAAUACAUUUAACAAAAAUACUUUUCUCUCUCUUUUGUAUCUUGGAGGGAAGUCAUCAUAUCUGCACUCAUUCCAUGAUUCAGAUUGGCCAAUCUCUAAUUGCUUGAGUUUGAUUUCUUGUCUGUUUUCAGAUCCCAGGACUGCUGAUUAUUCCUUCUCCUUGGUAGACCAAGCUCACCCACAAAAAACGUGAGAGGCUUCUAAACUUCAGCCAAAUAGACAUCCCAGGCUCUUUGCUUCCAGGAACGGAAAACUGAAGAUAACACAAGAUGGCCAUCUCACCUGCUCCAGUGCUCCGACCAGAUAGCAACGGCACACAGCAGCGAGGGAACGUGCAACCCCGGUGCCUGCUACUGUACCUCCUCCAUGACUGCAAACAACCUGAACACUCAAAUCACUUUGUGUUUCUCCUACUCAUUUGGCAUCCAUCAAAAGCAUUAAAUUCAUUCAAGUGCUUGGGACGCUGAGCUUCUUUCCUGCCCAUCCGUCUCGAGAGCAGAUGUUCCCAUCUUACACAGCCCAACAGCGGCACCAAGCGGACCUUGGGAAACAGCUGUUCAAGUUCCCCCCCACUGGAUUUCCUAACCACUCCCAGAGUCAUAUUAAACGCAGUACCUGUUUUACUGCUGAAGUUGAAGCAGUUACCUACUACCGGUACGGCCUAAAAAGCCUGAAACUACCAUCUCUCAUGAAGGUUUGCCAGAGCUAGGAAAAACGCAUGACAUGUAAAACGCUGUAUUACUGCAGUUUGGCCAUCUUUGAACAGGUCACCAAUUUGCAACAGGCUCCAAUACUUCUGCAAAAUUACUUUUUGUAAAGACCAAGCACACAACCUCAAGCAAAAAGACAGUUUAUAAGACUCUCUCUGCGUGGCUACAUAUCUGAAAAGAUUCCCAUAAGAGAGAAGAUUGUUUUGCUCUUGAUUACACGUCCCUGCUUUUCUGAAGGUCCAAGCACUAAAGCCAAUUUCCAGGAAUCCAACUAGCAGUCCGCGCUUGAUGCAAUUUCCCAAGAAUCAAAGGCAGUAGUAGGAAAAAGCCCAACCCUCCCCCCCCAAACUUUCAACAUUAACGGGCUUCCAAGAAUCCCCAUACAAAUGUGUUUUCCAUCGGCAGCCAGAAAAAAGAUGCUGCUUCCUAGUUUGGACAUCAACUGAACAUAAACCUGUGGAGGUGAGCCAAGAUGCAGCGUUCAGAACUGAACUCUGAAAGGUUUCACUUAAUGCCCUUCCUCUUUCUACAGAAAAAGUGGUUCCAGGCAGCAGGAGCACAGCUAAUACUUUUCUCACUAAACCAAGGCUGAACGGAAGUGUCAUCACCAAAGUUUGUUGAUAUAACGUUCAUAAAUCUACACUUCUCCACAUUGUAGCACAAGGCGCUGCAGGAACAGCAUUAAGUUAACAUUGGAAUUAGAGUAAUAGAUUAGGAUGAGAUGAACCAAAAUGACUUCAACAAACCCUUAGCAUCACAUCACAGAACCAUAGAAUGGCUUAGGUUGGAGGGAGCCUUAAAGAUCAUCUAGUUCCAACCCCCUAUCGUGGGCAGGGCUGCCACCUACCAGCUCAGGCUGCCCAGUGCCC